rnacentral:lncRNA from 1 species
AUUUUAUCGAUUUGCAUUUGCGGCAUGUUUGUUGUUCAGUGUGUAAACAUUGGUAGAUUCAAAAAUAAACCAAGAAAGUUAUAAGCCAGCAUACUUAUCGGGGAUGUUUAUACUCAUGAGUUUCCCUUUUCAUCUUUUUUUCUUUUUAAAGAACCCGUCUUCAACCAGUUUUGUAACGACAUAAAUAAGAUUUGUUUCAAUUUGUGUAUUUUGAUUUGUAAUCGGGACACUUAUUUUUGUUACCGUCACCGCUAUGCAUGUAAAAUAAUUAUAUUCAGAAUCGCUGCUGUAGAUUGGAAACACUGUAUGUAGUGUGCCGGUAAAUAGUUUGAAACUUGAAACUCGCAUAUUGAUAAUGUAAAAUACAUGAAAUUAAAAAAAAUUGCCACUUCUAAAGUUUGAUCGUCGUUUCAAAAGUGAGGCAUUUGCCUCAUUUGCCUCCAUUACGCUACGGCCCUGCUA